UUAUUUUUUUUUUGCCAUAUCUUUAUGCCAUUAUCAAUGCCUAAAACAUUCUAACAUUGAGAUUCUGCGCUAAUGGAGGAUCCGGUAUAUGGAUGAACUCAAUCAGUGUAUCAUGCUGCUACACGCGGGUGAGGGAACUAUAUUUUAUUCAAAUUCUCUGGACUCUACAUGCCAGUGAGAGAGAGCUAUAUUUUAUUCAGAUUCUUCAACUCUAUUGUUUCAUUUUCUAGUACAAGGAUGCAUUGAUGAUAUCAAUUGUGAGGGUUGAAAGGUUUUGUAAGUUGAACAUCUAUGAGAGGUUUGAUCAAUACAAAAGCGUUUAUAACAGUUGUGAAUGAAAUUUGGUGAGGUUUGAUCAACACAGUAGCGUGUAUAACAUCAUCACAACAUUGCACGCUGGUGCAAGAUUUCAGCCAUUGAUCAGUUGAGCUCUCAGUCAUCAGUAUUAUCUGGUCCAAAAAUCAGUUUGGUUGGUAGGAUUUAUGAUUAUGGACUUACUAAAGUGGGGCUCGUGAUUCAACAUAAAACAUGUUACACCAAUUUUCAGCCAGAUGCGGGUUUUCUAUUAUAAUUUGGACUUAGAAACCGGACAAGAGAUGGAUUUUCUAUUAGUAUUUAGACCUUGAAACAGGACAGUGAAAACAUGAAAUAUGCACCAUCAAUAUAUGGUUGGAUACGUUAGAUAGAAAAGUAUAAAUUAUAUCAUCCUUCUUA